rnacentral:rRNA from 1 species
GAUGAACGCUGGCGGCGUGCCUAAUACAUGCAAGUCGAGCGCACGGACGAGAAGCUUGCUUCUCUGAUGUUAGCGGCGGACGGGUGAGUAACACGUGGAUAACCUACCUAUAAGACUGGGAUAACUUCGGGAAACCGGAGCUAAUACCGGAUAAUAUUUUGAACCGCAUGGUUCAAAAGUGAAAGACGGUCUUGCUGUCACUUAUAGAUGGAUCCGCGCUGCAUUAGCUAGUUGGUAGGGUAACGGCUUACCAAGGCAACGAUGCAUAGCCGACCUGAGAGGGUGAUCGGCCACACUGGAACUGAGACACGGUCCAGACUCCUACGGGAGGCAGCAGUAGGGAAUCUUCCGCAAUGGGCGAAAGCCUGACGGAGCAACGCCGCGUGAGUGAUGAAGGUCUUCGGAUCGUAAAACUCUGUUAUUAGGGAAGAACAUAUGUGUAAGUAACUGUGCACAUCUUGACGGUACCUAAUCAGAAAGCCACGGCUAACUACGUG